rnacentral:rRNA from 1 species
GACGUUUCNGGCCUCCCGCUAUCAGAUGAGCCUAGGUCGGAUUAGCUAGUUGGUGAGGUAANGGCUCACCAAGGCGACGAUCCGUAACUGGUCUGAGAGGAUGAUCAGUCACAUUGGGACUGAGACACGGUCCAGACUCCUACGGGAGGCAGCAGUGGGGAAUAUUGGACAAUGGGGGAAACCCUGAUCCAGCCAUGCCGCGUGUGUGAAGAAGGUCUUCGGAUUGUAAAGCACU